UAACAAGGUUUUUAUUUUUUAUCAAAUGUUUGUAUAAUUUCAAUGUGAAAAAAUUUUACAUACAUUUACUAUUAAGUCUCAAUCUGUGAGAUGGGAGACAAAGGAAUAACCGAGCCAGAGCUUACACAGCUUAAA